rnacentral:rRNA from 1 species
AUUGAACGCUGGCGGCAGGCCUAACACAUGCAAGUCGAGCGGAUGAAGGGAGCUUGCUCCUGGAUUCAGCGGCGGACGGGUGAGUAAUGCCUAGGAAUCUGCCUGGUAGUGGGGGAUAACGUCCGGAAACGGGCGCUAAUACCGCAUACGUCCUGAGGGAGAAAGUGGGGGUUCUUCGGACCUCACGCUAUCAGAUGAGCCUAGGUCGGAUUAGCUAGUUGGUGGGGUAAAGGCCUACCAAGGCGACGAUCCGUAACUGGUCUGAGAGGAUGAUCAGUCACACUGGAACUGAGACACGGUCCAGACUCCUACGGGAGGCAGCAGUGGGGAAUAUUGGACAAUGGGCGAAAGCCUGAUCCAGCCAUACCGCGUGUGUGAAGAAGGUCUUCGGAUUGUAAAGCACUUUAAGUUGGGAGGAAGGGCAGUAAGUUAAUACCUUGCUGUUUUGACGUUACCAACAGAAUAAGCACCGGCUAACUUCGUG